rnacentral:tRNA from 1 species
UGGGGGAUCGGGUAGCGGUAGCCCGCAUGACUCUGGAUCAUGUUGCGGAGGUUCGAAUCCUCCUCCCCCAGCCA